rnacentral:ncRNA from 2 species
GAAAUCCACUAGGGGAGCCGCAAUCGGCGGCUGAGACAAGAAUUUUUGGACCCUUUGAACCUGAUCCGGGUAAUACCGGCGGAGGGAAGUGGAGACGGCCGGUU